AGUGAACGCUGGCGGUAGGCCUAACACAUGCAAGUCGAACGGCAGCACAGUAAGAGCUUGCUCUUACGGGUGGCGAGUGGCGGACGGGUGAGGAAUACAUCGGAAUCUACUUUUUCGUGGGGGAUAGCGUAGGGAAACUUACGCUAAUACCGCAUACGACCUAUGGGUGAAAGCAGGGGAUCUUCGGACCUUGCGCGAUUGAAUGAGCCGAUGUCGGAUUAGCUAGUUGGCGGGGUAAAGGCCCACCAAGGCGACGAUCCGUAGCUGGUCUGAGAGGAUGAUCAGCCACACUGGAACUGAGACACGGUCCAGACUCCUACGGGAGGCAGCAGUGGGGAAUAUUGGACAAUGGGCGCAAGCCUGAUCCAGCCAUACCGCGUGGGUGAAGAAGGCCUUCGGGUUGUAAAGCCCUUUUGUUGGGAAAGAAAAGCAGCAGGUUAAUACCCCGCUGUUCUGACGGUACCCAAAGAAUAAGCACCGGCUAACUUCGUG
rnacentral:rRNA from 1 species